rnacentral:rRNA from 1 species
CCCACGUCCAGUGCCAGCAUUCAGUUGGGCACUCUAUGGAAACUGCCGGUGAUAAGCCGGAGGAAGGUGUGGAUGACGCCAAGUCCUCAUGGCCCUUACGGGUUGGGCUACACACGUGCUACAAUGGUGGUGACAGUGGGUUAAUCCCCAAAAGCCAUCUCAGUUCGGAUUGUCCUCUGCAACUCGAGGGCAUGAAGUUGGAAUCGCUAGUAAUCGCGGAACAGCAUGCCGCGGUGAAUACGUUCCCGGGCCUU